CUGAAUCAGUGUGUGUGUUAGUGGAAGCGUCUGGAAAGGCGCGCGAUACAGGGUGACAGCCCCGUACACAAAAAUGCACAUACUGUGAGCUCGAUGAGUAGGGCGGGACACGUGGUAUCCUGUCUGAAUAUGGGGGGACCAUCCUCCAAGGCUAAAUACUCCUGACUGACCGAUAGUGAACCAGUACCGUGAGGGAAAGGCGAAAAGAACCCCGGCGAGGGGAGUGAAAAAGAACCUGAAACCGUGUACGUACAAGCAGUGGGAGCCUCUUUUAUGGGGUGACUGCGUACCUUUUGUAUAAUGGGUCAGCGACUUAUAUUCUGUAGCAAGGUUAACCGAAUAGGGGAGCCGAAGGGAAACCGAGUCUUAACUGGGCGUUAAGUUGCAGGGUAUAGACCCGAAACCCGGUGAUCUAGCCAUGGGCAGGUUGAAGGUUGGGUAACACUAACUGGAGGACCGAACCGACUAAUGUUGAAAAAUUAGCGGAUGACUUGUGGCUGGGGGUGAAAGGCCAAUCAAACCGGGAGAUAGCUGGUUCUCCCCGAAAGCUAUUUAGGUAGCGCCUCGUGAAUUCAUCUCCGGGGGUAGAGCACUGUUUCGGCAAGGGGGUCAUCCCGACUUACCAACCCGAUGCAAACUGCGAAUACCGGAGAAUGUUAUCACGGGAGACACACGGCGGGUGCUAACGUCCGUCGUGAAGAGGGAAACAACCCAGACCGCCAGCUAAGGUCCCAAAGUCAUGGUUAAGUGGGAAACGAUGUGGGAAGGCCCAGACAGCCAGGAUGUUGGCUUAGAAGCAGCCAUCAUUUAAAGAAAGCGUAAUAGCUCACUGGUCGAGUCGGCCUGCGCGGAAGAUGUAACGGGGCUAAACCAUGCACCGAAGCUGCGGCAGCGACGCUUAUGCGUUGUUGGGUAGGGGAGCGUUCUGUAAGCCUGUGAAGGUGUGCUGUGAGGCAUGCUGGAGGUAUCAGAAGUGCGAAUGCUGACAUAAGUAACGAUAAAGCGGGUGAAAAGCCCGCUCGCCGGAAGACCAAGGGUUCCUGUCCAACGUUAAUCGGGGCAGGGUGAGUCGACCCCUAAGGCGAGGCCGAAAGGCGUAGUCGAUGGGAAACAGGUUAAUAUUCCUGUACUUGGUGUUACUGCGAAGGGGGGACGGAGAAGGCUAUGUUGGCCGGGCGACGGUUGUCCCGGUUUAAGCGUGUAGGCUGGUUUUCCAGGCAAAUCCGGAAAAUCAAGGCUGAGGCGUGAUGACGAGGCACUACGGUGCUGAAGCAACAAAUGCCCUGCUUCCAGGAAAAGCCUCUAAGCAUCAGGUAACAUCAAAUCGUACCCCAAACCGACACAGGUGGUCAGGUAGAGAAUACCAAGGCGCUUGAGAGAACUCGGGUGAAGGAACUAGGCAAAAUGGUGCCGUAACUUCGGGAGAAGGCACGCUGAUAUGUAGGUGAAGUCCCUCGCGGAUGGAGCUGAAAUCAGUCGAAGAUACCAGCUGGCUGCAACUGUUUAUUAAAAACACAGCACUGUGCAAACACGAAAGUGGACGUAUACGGUGUGACGCCUGCCCGGUGCCGGAAGGUUAAUUGAUGGGGUCAGCGCAAGCGAAGCUCUUGAUCGAAGCCCCGGUAAACGGCGGCCGUAACUAUAACGGUCCUAAGGUAGCGAAAUUCCUUGUCGGGUAAGUUCCGACCUGCACGAAUGGCGUAAUGAUGGCCAGGCUGUCUCCACCCGAGACUCAGUGAAAUUGAACUCGCUGUGAAGAUGCAGUGUACCCGCGGCAAGACGGAAAGACCCCGUGAACCUUUACUAUAGCUUGACACUGAACAUUGAGCCUUGAUGUGUAGGAUAGGUGGGAGGCUUUGAAGUGUGGACGCCAGUCUGCAUGGAGCCGACCUUGAAAUACCACCCUUUAAUGUUUGAUGUUCUAACGUUGACCCGUAAUCCGGGUUGCGGACAGUGUCUGGUGGGUAGUUUGACUGGGGCGGUCUCCUCCUAAAGAGUAACGGAGGAGCACGAAGGUUGGCUAAUCCUGGUCGGACAUCAGGAGGUUAGUGCAAUGGCAUAAGCCAGCUUGACUGCGAGCGUGACGGCGCGAGCAGGUGCGAAAGCAGGUCAUAGUGAUCCGGUGGUUCUGAAUGGAAGGGCCAUCGCUCAACGGAUAAAAGGUACUCCGGGGAUAACAGGCUGAUACCGCCCAAGAGUUCAUAUCGACGGCGGUGUUUGGCACCUCGAUGUCGGCUCAUCACAUCCUGGGGCUGAAGUAGGUCCCAAGGGUAUGGCUGUUCGCCAUUUAAAGUGGUACGCGAGCUGGGUUUAGAACGUCGUGAGACAGUUCGGUCCCUAUCUGCCGUGGGCGCUGGAGAACUGAGGGGGGCUGCUCCUAGUACGAGAGGACCGGAGUGGACGCAUCACUGGUGUUCGGGUUGUCAUGCCAAUGGCACUGCCCGGUAGCUAAAUGCGGAAGAGAUAAGUGCUGAAAGCAUCUAAGCACGAAACUUGCCCCGAGAUGAGUUCUCCCUGACCCUUUAAGGGUCCUGAAGGAACGUUGAAGACGACGACGUUGAUAGGCCGGGUGUGUAAGCGCAGCGAUGCGUUGAGCUAACCGGUACUAAUGAACCGUGAGGCUUAACCUU
rnacentral:rRNA from 1 species